rnacentral:rRNA from 1 species
GACGAACGCUGGCGGCGUGCUUAACACAUGCAAGUCGAACGGAAAGGCCCUGCUUUUGUGGGGUGCUCGAGUGGCGAACGGGUGAGUAACACGUGAGUAACCUGCCCUUGACUUUGGGAUAACUUCAGGAAACUGGGGCUAAUACCGGAUAGGAGCUCCUGCUGCAUGGUGGGGGUUGGAAAGUUUCGGCGGUUGGGGAUGGACUCGCGGCUUAUCAGCUUGUUGGUGGGGUAGUGGCUUACCAAGGCUUUGACGGGUAGCCGGCCUGAGAGGGUGACCGGCCACAUUGGGACUGAGAUACGGCCCAGACUCCUACGGGAGGCAGCAGUGGGGAAUAUUGCACAAUGGGCGGAAGCCUGAUGCAGCAACGCCGCGUGCGGGAUGACGGCCUUCGGGUUGUAAACCGCUUUCGCCUGUGACGAAGCGUGAGUGACGGUAAUGGGUAAAGAAGCACCGGCUAACUACGUGCCAGCAGCCGCGGUGAUACGUAGGGUGCGAGCGUUGUCCGGAUUUAUUGGGCGUAAAGGGUUCGUAGGUGGUUGAUCGCGUCGGAAGUGUAAUCUUGGGGCUUAACCCUGAGCGUGCUUUCGAUACGGGUUGACUUGAGGAAGGUAGGGGAGAAUGGAAUUCCUGGUGGAGCGGUGGAAUGCGCAGAUAUCAGGAGGAACACCAGUGGCGAAGGCGGUUCUCUGGGCCUUUCCUGACGCUGAGGAGCGAAAGCGUGGGGAGCGAACAGGCUUAGAUACCCUGGUAGUCCACGCUGUAAACGGUGGGUACUAGGUGUGGGGUCCAUUCCACGGGUUCCGUGCCGUAGCUAACGCUUUAAGUACCCCGCCUGGGGAGUACGGCCGCAAGGCUAAAACUCAAAGGAAUUGACGGGGCCCCGCACAAGCGGCGGAGCAUGCGGAUUAAUUCGAUGCAACGCGUAGAACCUUACCUGGGUUUGACAUGGAUCGGGAGUGCUCAGAGAUGGGUGUGCCUCUUUUGGGGUCGGUUCACAGGUGGUGCAUGGCUGUCGUCAGCUCGUGUCGUGAGAUGUUGGGUUAAGUCCCGCAACGAGCGCAACCCUUGUUCACUGUUGCCAGCACGUUAUGGUGGGGACUCAGUGGAGACCGCCGGGGUCAACUCGGAGGAAGGUGGGGAUGACGUCAAGUCAUCAUGCCCCUUAUGUCCAGGGCUUCACGCAUGCUACAAUGGCUGGUACAGAGAGUGGCGAGCCUGUGAGGGUGAGCGAAUCUCGGAAAGCCGGUCUCAGUUCGGAUUGGGGUCUGCAACUCGACCUCAUGAAGUCGGAGUCGCUAGUAAUCGCAGAUCAGCAACGCUGCGGUGAAUACGUUCCCGGGGCU